AAAACUAGCCAGUCUUUUGGGUAUGAAACCUAUUUGGGCGAGAGUAGUACUAGGAUGGGUGACCUCCUGGGAAGUCCUCGUGAAAGGGUUUC
rnacentral:rRNA from 1 species